CAGGCGUCCUCACAAGUGACCUGCAUUCAGAGAGUUCCGCCACCGGGCGGGGCACCCCGAUGUCGGGGCCAUAGCUCAGCUGGGAGAGCACCUGCUUUGCAAGCAGGGGGUCGUCGGUUCGAUCCCGACUGGCUCCACCAGAUUUGCAGAUCCCUCUGCAAGGGCCCGCGCAUCCAUGUGCGGACUGUCUAAGGGACCUGCGAGAGCCAAGACUUUGGGUCUGUAGCUCAGGUGGUUAGAGCGCACCCCUGAUAAGGGUGAGGUCGGUGGUUCGAGUCCUCCCAGACCCACCACUCUGAAUGUACGAAGCACACUAAGAAUUUGACUGCGCCAGCAUUGAGGCUGGGGCGUGUUCUUUUAAAAUUUGUGACGUAGCGAGCGUUUGAGAUCAACUAUCUCGACGUGUCGUUGUGGCUAAGGCGGGGACUUCGAGUCCCUAGAGUGAGUCGUUAUCGUUCGCGUCCGGGCGUUGUACCCCCGGACUCAGCAUAACCUUGAGGCAACUUGAGGUUAUAUGGUCAAGCGAAUAAGCGCACACGGUGGAUGCCUUGGCGGUCAGAGGCGAUGAAGGACGUGGCAGCCUGCGAAAAGUGUCGGGGAGCUG
rnacentral:misc_RNA from 1 species